GAAUAGCCGGACUUUAGAGGGCCUGUAGCUCAGUUGGUUAGAGCCCACGCUUGAUAAGGGUGGGGUCACAAGUUCAAGUCUUGUCCAGGCCCACCAUAANGUGGGCUGGUUUAUGACNGGCGCGGGCAUGGCGUACCCUUGAGGGGCNUUAGCUCAGUUGGGAGAGCGCCAGCUUUGCAAGCUGGAUGUCAUCGGUUCGAUCCCGAUAGGCUCCACCACUCAAGUUUGACGAGCUGUGCAGCGNAUGUGAAACGAGAGCUCAGACAUGAAUGCCGCGGGCGGUAUUGAUGUCUGGAUUUUCCAGGUUGACCGGGAUGACCGGCGACAAAGAUCUUUAACAAGUUGAUUCGAGUCUAGAAUCUGUAUUGGAGUAAUCAGGUCAAGCGAUUGACCUGGUGAAAGAUACAGCUUCAAACAAAAGAGAACUGAGUCAAGCGACUUUGGUACUUCUUAGGCAUUGGCCGACUUCUGAUGGAAAGCGUGGACGCAAGUCCCGUGCAGACUGUUUGGGGUUAUAUGGUCAAGUGACUAAGUGCACACGGUGGAUGCCUUGGCAGUCAGAGGCGAUGAAGGACGUGCUAA
rnacentral:misc_RNA from 1 species